UGGACUGUCUCAUUUUGUAUGUACAAGCAUUGCUCUUGCCUUCCGCAUCCAAAAGAGAAAUCUAACUCGGGUCUGCAGAGGACAGAGUGCUGCUGGCCAUGGAAGAAGGAAGAUGAAGGGAUCUGACGGCCCAGGAAAUCGUUCACAAGUGCAGAGACAAACAGCCCAGUUCUGUGGAAACCAUGACCAGGGACGCACUUCCCCUCGGACACAGGGAGCCAUGGAGCGUGGGCAGGGGACAGCAGAAUGGCCGCAUCACACGGAGCCACUCACCAGGGAGUGGGGGCGGCCGGGGUUCUGUCACAGCUGACAGUGGAGAGCUAUCGGGGAACCCACGCAUCUGUCAUCAGGAGGAAGAUGCCCGCGCGUGAUCAGCAGGCAGCCCUGCAUGUGGGAGGGCCGGUGAGCCCCGAGGACAGCGCUCC